AACGAACGCUGGCGGCAGGCCUAACACAUGCAAGUCGAGCGCCCCGCAAGGGGAGCGGCGGACGGGUGAGUAACACGUGGGAAUUUUCCUUCAAGGUACGGAACAACUCAGGGAAACUUGGGCUAAUACCGUAUGAUGCAGAGAUGCCAAAGAUUUAUCGCCUUGGGAUAAGCCCGCGUCAGAUUAGGUAGUUGGUGGGGUAAUGGCCUACCAAGCCUGUGAUCUGUAGCUGGUCUGAGAGGACGAUCAGCCACAUUGGGACUGAGACACGGCCCAAACUCCUACGGGAGGCAGCAGUGGGGAAUCUUGCGCAAUGGACGAAAGUCUGACGCAGCCAUGCCGCGUGAAUGAUGAAGGUCUUAGGAUUGUAAAGUUCUUUAGCCUGUGACGAUGAUGACGGUAACAGGAGAAUAAGCCCCGGCUAACUUCGUG
rnacentral:rRNA from 1 species